rnacentral:lncRNA from 1 species
GCCUCCCCUCCUGAUCGUACUCCAUCAUUAUUUGAUGCUGGUAGUUCCACACAUGCGGCAUGCAUGUGAGACCACGAAAUAUCCUAUUGGAUGAUGCACAUGUAAUAGAAAUACAUUAUGAAUAUAUAAGAGUGUGCAAUAACUAUACAAAAAAUAAAUAAAUAAAUAAUUGACUUAAUAAAAAUAUUUUCUCACUAGAAUCAUGUGAUGUGGAUGCCGGUGGAGCC